UUCACUUUAAGAAAAUACACAUUCUUACACUCUCUCUCUCUCUCUCUAGAUAUUUAUCACCUUUAUUAUAUUUUGAAGCAAGAUUUAUACAAAGAAACAUUAUCAUUUCCAUUAAAUCUAUAACAUAUCAAAAAUUCGGGUUUCAAAGUGCAAGAAAACAUCACAUUGGGGUCAAAUUUGGGUUUGAACACUUAGUGAAGAUUUUGGCCUAAUUGUUGGAAUCUGGUUCUAAGCCACCCCUGGAUAUGGAAUGCAAAUCGAAGACUGAUAUUCAUCAAGGAACUCUAGGAGCUUGUGUUUGAUAGGGUCAUCCCUACCCUUGUAGACAGGCCUGGACUACAAAAUUCCGUGGCUGGAUGCUGGGAUCCUUUUAAUCCUCUUGGCUAGACUAACCAUUUCACCACCGGGGUUUGGGACAACACCUAUCGAGAGCAUAUGAUCAUACACCUCAUCAGGUUCAUUCGUAAUCUUUACUGCCACCAACUGGCAUUGAGCAAUGGAUAUCAUGAUUAUCAUUAUCAAAUUGGCCAGACAGUGGUCGACCUGGAGCAAUGGAAAUGACUAUACUACCUUCAUGCAUAGCACUCGAAUUAGUUAACGGAUUAGAGAAAAUGUGCAUUUGCAUAAAGGACUGGAUGUGAUCCUUAUCCUUCCCAAAAGGACUAGCAGUGUUAUUCCAGAUAGUUAAGGACGAAACGUGAUUAUUGGGGUAAGCCACAGGACGGUUUCAGCCGUUUAUUAUUUUUUAAAUUUUAGAUGCACAUAUAUUAAAUGAAAUGUGAGGUGUAAUGUGUAUGACUCAAUAACCUAUCUACAAAGUUCAUAUAAUUUUGGACA